UGCCUUGGGAGUGUGAGCCAUUUGCUUCUGAAAUUUAUUUGCCAACAAGUCCUGCUUCAGCCCUGUAAAUCCCAACUUUAUGUUUUAGUGAGUCAAAAUAGCCCAGCAUACGGUGGGUAAAAUGGUAAAUUGAUGUUGCAUGUUCAGGCAUUCAGACCCUACUGGGACCCAGUAACAAACCACUUGUUUCUCAAAAGAAUAGUCACUUGCCAAAGAAAGCAUGGGUUUGCUUUAUACCGUCAGGGCUCUCUCUGGGCUCCAUAUAUCCGCUGAUCUGUCAUAGACUUUUGUUUGUUAUUGAAGCCACUGAGCCAUAGAGAUGAAUUGAGACAGCUUCCUGCUCUGUAACCUUGAGCAGGUUUUCCUGCUCUGAUUGCCACUGAAAGCUGGCAGGUUCUGGGUUACUCAGUAUAUUGAUCAGAGAAGCAUCAAUGAAGCCAUCUGAAUGUGUGCAUGAACAUUUAAGAAAGUUUUAUUUCAUUUCAGUGUCAUAAGAGUAUUGACCAUCUCCAUUAGAGAAAUGCAGAUCAAAACCACAAUGAGAUACCAUCUCUCACCAGUUAGAAUGGCAGUCAUUAAAAAGUCAGGAAAUAACAGAUGCUGGAGAGGAUGUGGAGAAAUAGGAAUGCUUUUACACUGUUGGUGGGAGUGUA
rnacentral:lncRNA from 1 species